UUUAAGUAUAGUUGUGGGUUUUAGUGUCCAAUGUUUGACCAUCCAUCUUUUUUGAUUUUUUUUUAUAAUUAAUAUUUUUAUUGUUAUUAGAUGAUAAAAUAUGAAUAGUACUUUAUGCGUGACUUAUUUUUCUAAACUUUUUCAUAAAUUUUUUAAAUAAGAUGGAUGGUCAAAUAUUUGACACACUUAAA
rfam:Oryza sativa (indica cultivar-group) chromosome 7, whole genome shotgun sequence.